UGGGCCUUGUCUAGACCUGUGCCUUUCAAAACAAACUUCGCGAAGAGAAUCAAUACCUUAGCCAGUAGAUUUGAUGCAAUUCAGAGCCUCAGGUACUUUUCUGCAUGCUGAGCACAGCCCAGAUCUUUGUGAAUAAUUUGCUUACUAAUAUGAGGAAAAAGAACCUUUCCAAUGGGUCUUGCAGAGAUUCAGAUGCCACAUGCUUUUCUGCUUUCACACAGGCUUGAUCUGGAACUUACUUAUGACUUCGAUAAAGGAUACUUUCCAAAAGGAUUCCUUGGUUUUGCAAUUGGAUCUGAAAAAGCGGUGUCCUUCAGCACAGAACACAAGUGCAGAAUGCAUGUGAGCAUUAACCCAUACAUAGGCGAAGAUACUGGAAGCUACUGUCCAUUCUCCAAGAGAUGUAUCCUGCAAAGUCAGUAAUAGUGGCAAAAUUAUUGCUGAAGCAAUUGCCUGGUGAAGAUGCUUUGUUCCAGCGCUGUGAAAACUGGUAUACUUAUUAAUGUAGGGAUAAACGUGACCUGCUCGGUUCCAAAAAUAUAAGUUGACAUUCUCCACUCCACUCUGGAACAGAUACUUGAAUCAUCAUUUCCUAGAUGCCAAGGAGUGCCUUGGCCACCACCAGGUAGGUUGGCAAUGCUUCAUUGUCUGGUUCUGCGACUCUUUUGCUAUUCAGACCAGGCUGAGAUGCCCUGGCAGGAAGAGAGCCUGUCUCUUUGCCCAGGACAGCUAGUUACCAGCUGUGUGGGGCACUCACCUGGUGAGGAAGUUCUUGCUCUGACAGAGAAGAAUCUGCUGAUUAUGCUGAAAUCCUGUCCCACCUCAUCAGACAUGCAACUCCAUGAGAAAAUACUAAUCUGAUAAGACCCUGGGGAAAGAGAUACAGAGGUGCCUAAGCCCCUGCUCCAUCCAUUGGCAACUAUUUCUUAGGUAUUUUCUUCAUGACAUUUUUCUAGAAAUCUAAUUCUCUGUACAGGUUCUUGGGGAAACCUGUCUGUAGCAAAGACAACUAAUGAGCCAGAUUCUGUGAUGCUGACCCUAAAUACCUUAUUGCAAAUGUUUCUGAUAAACUUUCUUAUUUUUUCUCUGUGAUGCUCACUGCAAAAGGAGGGGCUUUAUCCUUGAUUUUAAGCAAAAGUCUCUCUUAUUUGCAAGUUAAACUAUUAAAAAAUAAAACUGAAGUAAAACUUGACACAUUGAGUCUGACAAAAUUCCUUAACUGCAUGAGGAUUUUGCAAUACUUUGAUUAAGAACCAGUUAUAAAUUCUUACAAUGAAACUGCUAUUAUAUAGACAGAAUAUUGCCCAAAAAACCCCACUGAGGUUUCUGGCUACUGGGAAAUGCCUGAUCCUGCAGUUUGGUGGUUAAUCUGUCUUUGAGCAUUCAUUAGGGAAAAUCUUUAAAAUGGAUCAAUGCAUUGAGUAUAAUAGUAGCAGUAAUAUUAUACUGUAGUGAAGGUUAUUUUGCAUAACUUUAAAAUAUUUGCAGAAGGCUCAGCAUUUGGUGUCUUAUAUAAGGAUCAUAGAAUCUUUUAGGUUGUAGAAGAAUUUUAAGAUAAUCGAGGCCAAGUGGGUGUAUUUUCACAGUAACAAUCAGAAGGUUUGUGGUGUUUCCUGUAGUAACAGCUACAGUGGUAAGAGUCUUGUUGCCAUGUUUUCCAACGCAGAAGGUAGCCUGUAGAGCCUCCACCUUGGCUGGGGUCAGUCUGAGGGUGUGGGCUGAAUAGCCCAGAGCUCAGCUGUGACAAGUGGACAAGCAGUGUGAGUUUCCAUGCUAAUGUGUCAGCAGGACUUUGCACAGGAGAAGCAGGGCACUGGAGAGAGUAGCAGAAUAAAUCAAAGUGUGAAAGGAACUGCAAUCAAAUGUCACACCCAAGCAGUCAGUGACUUUGGUGUGCUGUUUGGAAAUAGGCUGGGUUACCUGUCAAUGUGGCACUUUCUGUUGCUAGGGAAUAAUGUUAUCCGAGGAUAAAACCUAAGGAGCACAGACGGUUGUUGUACAAACUUGAUCCUUUAAACUCUUAUCACGGCAAAUUAUUCCACUGACGUAAGUGGGACCACUCCUGUGGAAAAGGUCUCAGUUACGUUAUCUAAUUCUUUCAUGACUGAAGUGAUCCAUUACAUACGAUUUUGUUGCUUUGUGUGUGUGUGUCAAUGCAUCUUUAACAAAAUCCUGUUUUUUAGCAGGAAAUCUCUUUUCAUAGCCUACCAGUCACUGGGAUCAAAGUCAUUGUUUAAGACUGUAGGAUAUAAAUCUCUCUUGGAAACAUUAUCUCUGCACUUUCUAAACCAAGAGGUACAGACCCUGAUUUGACUUUGGUACUUUCUUUGCUUGGGAACCACCAGCCUGAAGCCCUGUGCCUGUCUAAGGUCAAAACUUCCCUUUGGUUUUUAUGUAGGUAUUGAAGACUUGUGGUUGUCAGCAAGAGGAAUUUAAACUGUAAAAGAAGGAACAGAUUAAAAUUUAGAAUCAAGCCUUAUUUGUUUUUACCUAUUCAAAAUUAAUGUAUGUAUUAUGAUGCAAAUUUCUUAGCAUUUCCUGAAAUAUUGAUUAUUUGAGUGUAAACUGUUUUUUACAGAUGCUAUUUCUGUUGUCAGCCAAGCCUCCACGAUCUGUGAAAAUUCCAUGAGCAGAGGCCUAUAGUUUGUGUUGUUUCUCUUACCCCACGCACUUAGGAAACGGUCCCACUGGCUUCAGGAGCAUAGGAAUCAAAAUAAACUCAGGUGCAGAUGCAAAUCUUGCAGCCAAGAAGUCAACUUUAAUUGCUUAACUUGAUAACGUACCUUGCUGUGUCACUCAAGGCAGCUUUAUGCAACUUUGUUAAAAAAAUGCUUUAGUUCUCUCUUCUUUACGUCAGUUUCACUGCUAGUUUAAAAUUGAAGCUAAACUUUUUGAUGCCCAUUUUAUCUAAGUGUCCUGGUUUGAGCCAGGAUAAAGCCAAUUUUCCUUUCACUGAUUUUUUUUUUUUUUUUUCCCUUUAGAGAAGGUGGGGAGGGGGUUGAGAGCAUUAUUGUCACUGGUUUAAUUGCUGAUCGUAAGUCAAGCCAUGACAGGAUUAAGAGGAAAUCUUGAACCCCUGCCCCCUUCAGUUUUAAGGAAAAAAAUUUAAAAGUCUUGCAAUUGUUUGCAUUAUGAGCCUGCAGUUCAGGUCCAAGCAUGAACUUCCCCCAAAUGUCAGUCUUUGUAGUACUUUGGACUGUAAUUUAGACCUUUUCAUUAACAGUCUAAUAAACAAUUCUUAUUUUGAGGAUACCUUUUCCUCAGGGAAACCUGCAAUGUUGGUAUUGAAGCUAUCUCCUGUUUGGGGGUGAUGGACCAAGCAACAGCAGACUGCUAACACAGAAAUGGUUACACAGAAAUGUCCCAUAAUGAUUUUGAAAACUAGAAUACCUCUAAUUAGAAACACAUUAUGAAUCCUCUGAAAGAAAAAAACCCAACAAAACAGCAUUGCUGAUUGUCAUUAUAGCUGUCACUGUCACACCAUGGAUUCAGCUAGCUCAACCAUUUGUUAUGAAUAACAUUCAGUUUGAAUUCUGGCAUUUCUAAUUGAGUAACUAUGAGUAUUUUGUCAUUAUUUUACCAGAGAUGGAUUGCAAUGAAUCUGCCUGCAAUGUUUCUAACCCAUAUUUUCUUUAAAAACAGAACCAACAUGGUGAUGUGCAAAUAUUUUGCUAACUUUUGGUGCUAUUUACUUCAGCAUUCUCCUCCAGGAGGAAUAUAUUUGUUAAUUAAAGGCUGAAAAGGAUAUUGGUAUAGUCCUCAGUUGUCAAAUACAAAAGCCAUGAGGAAAAAAGAUGGAACCAUUUUCACAAAUAGCAGACCAGCCCAGAGCUCUUCUUGAAAAACAAUGUGCUUGCAAGGACCCUUUUUCCCUCCCUGGGCAACAUGGGAAAGUGAUCAUAAUAUCCAGUGACAUGCAGAACAGUGGCUGCUCUGCUUCACCAGGGCCAUCCACAGCUUGCACUUUACUAAGGUCACUGGUAUUACCCUUACACAUUUCCUGUAUGACAUGAGGAUCAGGUUCCAGUAGCCAACAAGUCAAAAAAUAUUCCCGGGAGUGGAACUAAGUAGGUUCUUCAGCAUCCCCUGUUGCAACAAGCAGCCAUUUGAAAUACCUGUAAGACUGGCCUCUCCCAAGACACCCACUGUGGGUUGUUUCCUAACUACUGAUUUCUACUAUUUUAAUGGCACAAAGAAUUCUGUGUUUUGACAUGGAGAUCCUUAUCACUCAAAAAAUGAAUACAGUAUUCAUCCAAUCAUAAAAUGACGUUAUGAAAGCAGCUCUUUUGCUGAUGUGGUGACCAUAGAGUUGCUUAACAUUAUUCUGGUUAACACAAUUUGACUGAAUAUACAUUUUGACAUCCAAGAAACAGGAACACUGAUGGGAACUGAUGGACCCAAUGUUGAAAACAGAAAAACUGACUGCAGGACACCCAGAAAAUUAGUAGGUGGAUUGUAAGAAAUCCCAUUCCCAAAGAGCAAAGUCAAUGAACAAAGGAUUGAAAAAGUAGAAAGACAAGGCAAAGAAAAACUAAUUUUUAUAUUCCUUUCUUAAUAAAAACCCCAAACAACAAAGAGAUGCUAAGUGGGAUUUUAGAGCUCAGUAGAUGAAGACUGAGUAGUUAGUUUUAAGCUAAAUAGCUGAGAUUCAAUAUAAAUAUUUCUGUUUCUGGUACAGCCUUCAAGAAUAACUGGAGUACCUCAUUCUUAAGCAUCCUUUCCCUUUGUAUUCUUUUUCUUAUUCCCACCAUAAACAUGCUACAAACAAAAUGCCAUCCUCAGGAGGACUAGCAUUUGUAGACGUCUUUUGUUGUGAACAUUUCAUUGCAGAAGCCAAGAUGUUUUCUUAGUCACCUCAAGAGCCUUUGUAAAGACUUCUGCUUUCACAUUUAAAAAGUGUAUUUAUAUAUUUAAAUUUAAAUCAGCCCAAACUCCAAAAUAAAAAACAAACAAACUGGUUUUGGGA